ACUGAACACACAAACACACAACAGCAGCGGCUGAGCAUCAUCUGGCUUCACUGCGGGUCUCCAAACACACAAACACUCACCAGACAGAAGAACCUCAGCGCUCCUCCAGCAGACGCGUCAAAUCUCAUCACCUGUGCAGUAGGAACAUGUCGUAAACUGACGGAAGUUGCGUAGGUUCUGCAUCCUCCCAGAUCAGCUGGUGUCUUCCGGCGCGAAGAGGAUCCGCGUGUGAGAGAGCAGAGUUCCCUCCAAAGAUGCAUGUGAACGGCUCGUGGCGAGGAAUCGAGUCUUUUGGAGUCGACUCCCCAUCACAGACUGAUUCGUUCUCCAUAAAGCUACUGAUAUGAUGUAAAGAUUUGUGUGUUUUUGACUCUGUAGAUUCUCAAAGGACUUACUCUUUUAAUUCUCGUCUUUCUUUGCAUUGCUUUUUCCACCAAUUUGAUUUAUUUUAUUUUUUAUGUGCACGUUUCUAUAUUAGUCUCGUGUAAAAUUCUAUUUAACUUGUGUUGUAUAAAUAUGUCUUACAUCCCAUUGUUAUUAAAUUAUGGCACAGAAUCCUCCAUCAUGCUGUUUCUAUCUGAGGUCUUUGUUAAUAUGAGAUCAUGGUGAUUUUGUUAAUAAAAUAUUUACCUGAUUGAA